GCUGGUGUGGCUCAACGGCAGAGCAACUGUCUUGUAAACAGUAGGUUGCAGGUUCAAAUCCUGUCACCAGCCCCA
rnacentral:tRNA from 1 species